rnacentral:rRNA from 1 species
UACGAAGGGGGCUAGCGUUGUUCGGAAUUACUGGGCGUAAAGCGUAUGUAGGCGGAUCGUUCAGUCGGGGGUGAAAUCCCGAGGCUCAACCUCGGAACUGCCUUCGAUACUGGCGAUCUUCGAGUCCGGGAGAGGUGAGUGGAACUCCGAGUGUAGAGGUGAAAUUCGUAGAUAUUCGGAAGAACACCAGUGGCGAAGGCGGCUCACUGGCCCGGUACUGACGCUGAAAUACGAAAGCGUGGGGAGCAAACAGG